AUCGGUUGACAAUGAUGGUUUACCCCAAUCAAAAGAGCAAACGGCAUCUUCUCAUUGCUUUUCAUAUAGCUGGUGUCAAAGAAAACCACAUCAUUAAAGCUUACAUAGUCUUUCCUACUUUUGGCAUCAAUCCAGAAUAAGUUCCUUAAGCGUUGAUCUUCAUUGAGAUCAGUUGCAUAAAAGAAACAUGGAUUUUCUUUCUGGACAUGCAUAAAAUACUCGAGCAUAAUAUGAGCAUCUCCCUCUUCUAAUGACAAGCACCGACCUUUGUCAAACUGGUAAUUUAAAUCAUUAGUCAGCAAGCCAACUUCUUGACUUCCA
rnacentral:misc_RNA from 1 species